UCCCUGAAUUUUUAUUUCCCUCCCUAUCUAGAUUCUAAACAUAAUUCCCUCCCUCCCUCACCAAUAGACGCCUUCACUCUAGAACCCUCUUCUCGUAAAUCAGUUCCUCUCAUUCUCUGGACCAGGUUUCCCUGCCUCCGCCGCCCUAGUUUCAUGCCUCACUUCCUUCACAAACCCUAAUUAGGGCUCCAGUUGGAUAGUUCCACGCCUCACCGCUUCUGCUCAGACAUAUAGAAACAAGCUAUAAAAGAAGUUGAUGAAGCCAUUGCUCAAGGGAAAGCCAAAGCAUGUUAUGACUUUCUUUCUUGCAGAACUGGGUACAAGUGGAUCCCUUGACAGGCAACAAAGACUGGUAGUGAAGGGUAGAUUUGCACCGAAAACUUUGAAGGGAUUCUCAUGCGACAUGUCACAUGAUGAUAUGGUUUAAUAUGCGGUAAACAUUCUUGCUAUUCUUGUUCAUAUGUUUCCAUUCACAGAUGAGUAUGUUAUCUGCAGUGGUUGCAAGAGCCUGGAUAAAACGCCUGGAUACAAUUCUUUUAAAGGAGAGUUGUCUUUUCUUCCUCAGAUAUCAUGAGAAGCUUUGGAGCUAAAUUUAAAGAUAGUGAAAUUCUAGCCCAAAAGAACGUUUAGGUUCUCCGUGUAAACAUUUAGAAGUUGGAAUAUCUUACUUAUUACAUAAUGUCUUGCUAACAUUCGGAAUAUGUUUUGGAUCCAACUUAUUAUUGAAGUUAUAAUAUUAUGAUUUCUACAUUUA